UACGUAGGGGGCGAGCGUUGUCCGGAAUUACUGGGCGUAAAGCGCGCGUAGGCGGUCUUUCGCGUAGGCGGUGAAAGCCCCCGGCUCACCCGGGGGAGGUCCGUCUAAACGGGGAGACUCGAGGGCGGUAGGGGCCGGUGGAACGCCCGGAGUAGCGGUGAAAUGCGUUGAGAUCGGGCAGAACACCAGUGGCGAAGGCGGCCGGCUGGGCCGUACCUGACGCUGAGGCGCGAAAGCCAGGGGAGCGAACGGA
rnacentral:rRNA from 1 species